CUCAGUUUUCAGUCGUACUACGAGAAUGAACAUCAGAACAGGCCCAGAAAAAUCAGUUUCCCUUGUGCCUAAAUUAUUGGAUGGAAGCUAGAGAGUUGGGUUUUCCUAUAACUUAUGUUGUGAGUGACUUAAGCCAGAUAAGGAAUACGAGGGAAUGAGGAAUAAGAGGACAGCAAUGGGGACAUACCUUUAAGUUCAUGAUAGGUCAUACGCCGAGCACUUGCUCCAGGGUCCUGGAAGCGAUGUGAUGUGCCAAAAAUUCGACUUGAAACUGCCGGAUAAAACAAUCGACUUUUAUUCCUGAAUGAUAGUCGGCCGAUCGGACUGGAUAGCGGAGGGGUACCUUCUGUGUGUGCCAUGGACAGCUUUUUUUUACCGGGAACCUUCGAUAAGUCGGCUACUCUGCAGUUCGCCGUCGGACAGAUCACUGGACUCUGGCCCAGACUUUCGAAUAUUUUUGGACACAUGUACCCAUUAAAGUCUUCGAUUUGCUACUGUCAUAGCAAUAGGGAAACAUUUGUAAAUCGACUUUAAAGUAAACUAAAAAUUCCGAGGCACUUCCGCUGGCAUUACUACCAA